GGUUUCAAUCAGUUAAGGCAAGGAAAAGUGACGAUUUUUAUGUUUAUGAUCCUUCGCUUUAUGCUUUUCUAGGAGUGAAAUAAAAUGGCAGGAGGACAGAUGUGAGGAUAAGGUAGGAUAAUCUCCUGAUAGGUGGACUGGUGCCAGACGCCCAGGAAAACAGCUCUGGGUGCUAAGCCAGGAUCUUAAAUGUCUCCCAAAUAACAGCUCACUUUUGUGUGGUGCUUUUUAUGCCAGGCUUUUAAAAUGUCACAACCUUACUAGGUAGGUUUGCAUUUUGUUCCUAAUUUAAAUUGAGGAAAUGGGGCCCUCAAAGAGAUAAAUUCAUCCUCAGUGAGUCGUGGAGCUGUUUCUGACUUUAGGCUCCUUCCCUGAUGCAAAGAGCCAAAUAAUUGGAAAAGACUCUGAUCCUGGGAAAACUGAAGGCGAAAGGAGAAGAGGCCGAGGAUGAGACUGUUGGAUGACAUCACCGACACAAAGGACAUGAAUUUGAGCAAACUGCAAGAGAUAAUGGAAGAGAGAGGAGCCUGGGGUGCUGCAGUCCGUAGUGCCGAAAAGAGCUGGACACGACUGAGCAACUGAACAACAACCACAACGUCUCUGGAAGAUGUGUACUUAGUUAAAGCAUGAUUUCUUGCUCCUUCUUUCCAUGAAGACUCUCUCUUCGGUCACAAAGAGACCUGCACGCCUGCCAUUCUUUCUCAUACCAUGAAUAUAUUGGUCUGCCCAACUGGAACCCUUCUGAAGCCCACCUGUUAAACUUCUACAUCAUUCAAGACUCAAGUAUAAGCUCCUAGGUGAAGUCUCCUUAUUACCCCAGAUAGAACGAAUUCCCCAUUUUGCUCCCAAAGCCAUGCUGUUCUUACUUCUGUAAGGUAAGUUUCAUGUGGCAUGAAAGUGAAAGUUGUGCAAUCAUAUCUGACUCUUUGAGACCCCAUGGACUUAGUCCAUGGAAUUCUCCAGGCCAGAAUACUGCAGUGGGUAGCCUUUCCCUUCUCCAGGGGAUCUUCCCAACCCAGGGAUCAAACCCAGGUUUCCCACAUUGCAGGUGGAUUCUUUACCAGCUGAGCCACAAGGGAAGGGCAAGAAUACUGAAGUGAGUUGCCUAUCCCUUCUCCAGCUGCUGCUGCUGCUAAGUCACUUCAGUCGUGUCCAACUCUGUGCGACCCCAUAGACGGCAG
ensembl:lncRNA